rnacentral:rRNA from 1 species
GAUGAACGCUAGCUACAGGCUUAACACAUGCAAGUCGAGGGACCGGCGCACGGGUGAGUCACACGUAUCCAACCUGCCCUUUAAUCGGGGAUAGCCUUUCGCAAGAAAGAUUAAUACCCGAUAUAAAGGAUGGGGAUGCGUUCCAUUAGGUGGUUGGUGAGGUAACGGCUAACCAAGCCUUCGAUGGAUAGGGGUUCGGAGAGGAAGGUCCCGCGCAGGGGAACUGGGACACGGACCAAAAUCUUACGGGAGAGAGGAGACAGGAAUAUUGGUCAAUGGGCGCUAACCUGACCCAGCCCAGUAGCGUGAAGAAGGUAGGCUUAUUGGUCGUAAACUACUUUUAUAUAAGAAUAUGUAUUAUAUGAAUAAGGAUCGGCUAACUCCGUGCCAGCAGCCGCGGUAAUAC